rnacentral:RNase_P_RNA from 1 species
ACGGUUGACUUCAUCGCCUCAUUAAAUCGGGGAGGAAAGUCCGGACAGCGUAGAGUACCAUACUUCUCAAAAGGAAGGGUCGUCUAACGAGAUGACACAGAAAGUGCUAAAGAGAUUUAAACCGCCGAUGACUUAGGUUGAAAAACUUGAGAACAGGUAAGGCUGAAAAGGUGAGGUAAGAGCUCACCAGUAAUGAAGUGAUUCAUUAGCUUAGGUAAACCUUAUGGGCUGCAAGACCAUGUAAACUAGUGUUUGAGGGCUACUCGUUCGAUACUAGAGGGUAGGUCGCACUAGAUCAAUGAUGAAGCUUCGAUAAAGUGUUAUCACUGAAUCGGAGAACAGAAUCCGGCUUACACCGUAAAA